GAUGAACGCUAGCUACAGGCUUAACACAUGCAAGUCGAGGGACCGGCGCACGGGUGAGUAACACAUAUCAAACCUGCCCUUUACUCGGGGCUAUCCUUUCGAAAGAAAGAUUCAUACCCGAUAUAAAGGAUGGGGAUGCGUUCCAUUAGGUUGGUGGUAAGGUAACGCCUCACCAAGCCUUCGAUGGAUAGGGGUUGGGAGAGGAAGUCCCCCCACAUUGGAACUGAGACACGGUCCAAACUCCUACGGGAGGCAGCAGUGAGGAAUAUUGGUCAAUGGGCGGUAGCCUGACCCAGCCAAGUAGCGUGAAGGAUGAAGGCUUAUUGGUCGUAAACUUCUUUUAUAUAAGAAUAUGUAUUAUCUGAAUAAGGAUCGGCUAACUCCGUGCCAGCAGCCGCGGUAAUUC
rnacentral:rRNA from 1 species